AGCAGCCGCGGUAAUUCCAGCUCCAAUAGCGUAUAUUAAAGUUGUUGCAGUUAAAAAGCUCGUAGUUGAAUUUCGGGAUCAGUUGAUCGGUCGUGCCUCGGUACGUACUGGUCAAAUUGAUUCCUACCUUCUGACGAACCACGAUGUCAUUAAUUUGGUGUCGCGGGAAAUCAGGACUGUUACUUUGAAAAAAUUAGAGUGUUUAAAGCAGGCUCGCGCUUGAAUACAUUAGCAUGGAAUAAUGAAAUAGGACGUUUGAUUCUAUUUUGUUGGUUCUAUUUUGUUGGUUUCUAGGAUCGACGUAAUGAUUAAUAGGGAUAGUUGGGGGCAUUAGUAUUCAAUUGUCAGAGGUGAAAUUCUUGGAUUUAUUGAAGACUAACUACUGCGAAAGCAUUUGCCAAGGAUGUUUUCAUUAAUCAAGAACGAAAGUUAGGGGAUCGAAGACGAUCAGAUACCGUCGUAGUCUUAACCAUAAACUAUGCCGACUAGGGAUCGGAUGAUGUUAAUUUUUUAAUGACUCAUUCGGCGCCUUACG
rnacentral:rRNA from 1 species